CCCUUAGAUGUUCUGGGCCGCACGCGUGCUACACUGAGUGGAUCAGCGGGUCAGGUUGCGCGAAAGUGUUUCCUAAUCUUUAAAUCCGCUCGUGAUGGGGAUUGACGGUUGCAAUUUUCUGUCAUGAACGAGGAAUACCUUGUAAGCGCGGGUCAUCAUCCCGCGCUGAAUACGUCCCUGCCCUUUGUACACACCGCCCGUCGCUCCUACCGAUUGAGUGGUCCGGUGAGGCUUUGGGAUCUGAGCGGAAAGAGCGUUUCGCUGUUUCUGCUCGGAAAACUCAGUCGAACCUUAUCAUUGAGAGGAAGGAGAAGUCGUAACA
rnacentral:rRNA from 1 species